rnacentral:ncRNA from 1 species
AUUACAGGGGUGCCACGGCUGAGACCGUCAAACGACGGAACCCAACCUGAUCCGGAUAAUGCCGGCGUAGGGACGUAAUGAA